GAUGAACGCUGGCGGCGUGCCUAAUACAUGCAAGUCGAGCGAACAGAUAAGGAGCUUGCUCCUUUGGCGUUAGCGGCGGACGGGUGAGUAACACGUGGGUAACCUACCUAUAAGACUGGGAUAACUUCGGGAAACCGGAGCUAAUACCGGAUAACAUUUGGAACCGCAUGGUUCUAAAGUGAAAGAUGGUUUUGCUAUCACUUAUAGAUGGACCCGCGCCGUAUUAGCUAGUUGGUAAGGUAACGGCUUACCAAGGCGACGAUACGUAGCCGACCUGAGAGGGUGAUCGGCCACACUGGAACUGAGACACGGUCCAGACUCCUACGGGAGGCAGCAGUAGGGAAUCUUCCGCAAUGGGCGAAAGCCUGACGGAGCAACGCCGCGUGAGUGAUGAAGGGUUUCGGCUCGUAAAACUCUGUUAUUAGGGAAGAACAAAUGUGUAAGUAACUGUGCACGUCUUGACGGUACCUAAUCAGAAAGCCACGGCUAACUACGUG
rnacentral:rRNA from 1 species